rnacentral:rRNA from 1 species
AUUGAACGCUGGCGGCAUGCCUUACACAUGCAAGUCGAACGGCAGCGGGGGAGAAGCUUGCUUUUCCUGCCGGCGAGUGGCGAACGGGUGAGUAAUACAUCGGAACGUGCCCUGUAGUGGGGGAUAACUAGUCGAAAGAUUAGCUAAUACCGCAUACGACCUGAGGGUGAAAGUGGGGGACCGCAAGGCCUCAUGCUAUAGGAGCGGCCGAUGUCUGAUUAGCUAGUUGGUGGGGUAAAGGCCUACCAAGGCGACGAUCAGUAGCUGGUCUGGGAGGACGAUCAGCCACACUGGGACUGAGACACGGCCCAGACUCCUACGGGAGGCAGCAGUGGGGAAUUUUGGACAAUGGGCGUAAGCCUGAUCCAGCAAUGCCGCGUGUGUGAAGAAGGCCUUCGGGUUGUAAAGCACUUUUGUCCGGAAAGAAAUGGCUCUGGUUAAUACCUGGGGUCGAUGACGGUACCGGAAGAAUAAGGACCGGCUAACUACGUGCCAGCAGCCGCCGUAA